UGUCUGAUUAGCGCAACUGGCAGAGCAACUGACUCUUAAUCAGUGGGUUGUGGGUUCGAUUCCCACAUCAGGCACCAU
rnacentral:tRNA from 1 species